AUUGAACGCUGGCGGCAGGCCUAACACAUGCAAGUCGAACGAGUGGCGGACGGGUGAGUAACGUCUGGGAAACUGCCGGAUGGAGGGGGAUAACUACUGGAAACGGUAGCUAAUACCGCAUACUAUUAGAUGUGCCGAUAUUGGAUUAGCUGGUUGGUGGGGUAACGGCGGACCAAGGCGACGAUCCCUAGCUGGUCUGAGAGGAUGAUCAGCCACACUGGGACUGAGACACGGUCCAGACUCCUACGUGAGGCAGCAGUGGGGAAUAUUGCACAAUGGGCGCAAGCCUGAUGCAGCCAUGCCGCGUGUAUGAAGAAGGCCUUCGGGUUGUAAAGUACUUUCGUCAGGGAGGCGUUACCCGCAGAAGAAGCACCGGCUAACUCCGUGCCAGCAGCCGCGGUAAUAC
rnacentral:rRNA from 1 species